UUAUGAGCAAUAAAUGACAUUAAAAGAAACGUUACACAAUCAUUCCUAUUUAAUACAAAUUCCAUAACUUAUCUAACAUUCAAUACUGAAUUUGGACUCUUUUACGUCAUCAGAUUCGUAUCUUAAAUUUCUUCUGAUCUCUUGGCUUUAAAUGAUUUAAAUAGGUAUUAGACUUUUGCCAUUUGAAUAACGUCUCGUACCUAUUUAGCUUUCUCUUUCCCGUAUCUAUUGUUGCUCAUGUUUUUUGGCUAUUUAUUGCAUUUUAACCUUUUGACUAGACCACGUGUCAUGACACAUCAUCUUCAAUAUAUAAAUUCAGUUUUUUUUCCAAUACAGAUAGUCCCCCCACUUUUCAUAUAUUUAUCACUUAAAUAUUUGGGAAGUGAAUUUUCACAAAAAAGGAAUUUUUGCCAUAAUCAAUGCUAUGACAGUACUGACGCUUCAAUUGUCUUUUCUAUUUAAUGCUCU
rnacentral:lncRNA from 1 species